AACGGUCUAUACCUGCGGUACCUGCGGAAGGAUCAUUACAGAGUUGCAAAACUCCCAAACCAUUGUGAACGUUACCUUCUCGUUGCUUCGGCGGGCGGCCCGGGUCCUUCCCGGCGCCCCCCGGCCCCUCGCGGGCGCCCGCCGGAGGUAAACCAAACUCUUGAAUUGUAUGGCCUCUCUGAGUCUUCUGUACUGAAUAAGUCAAAACUUUCAACAAUGGAUCUCUAGAUCGGAAGAGCA
rnacentral:misc_RNA from 1 species